UAGCCUGUGCGCCUUCGAGGUUCUUCGGCCGCGCGCCGAAGCUAAGAGGGAACGUGGUCCAAGCCACGGCUGCCCCCGCAACUGUAAGCGAUCGGAACUCCUUCGAAUGCCACUGCCGCAAGGUGGGAAGGCGAAGGACGAGGCGAAAGCCGGAUCGCGAGCCAGGAGACCUGCCUCGCACCAGCAUUACGA
rnacentral:ncRNA from 2 species